rnacentral:rRNA from 1 species
AGCGAACGCUGGCGGUAGGCCUAACACAUGCAAGUCGAACGGCAGCACAGGAGAGCUUGCUCUCUGGGUGGCGAGUGGCGGACGGGUGAGGAAUACAUCGGAAUCUACUCUGUCGUGGGGGAUAACGUAGGGAAACUUACGCUGAUACCGCAUACGACCUACGGGUGAAAGCAGGGGAUCUUCGGACCUUGCGCGAUUGAAUGAGCCGAUGUCGGAUUAGCUAGUUGGCGGGGUAAAGGCCCACCAAGGCGACGAUCCGUAGCUGGUCUGAGAGGAUGAUCAGCCACACUGGAACUGAGACACGGUCCAGACUCCUACGGGAGGCAGCAGUGGGGAAUAUUGGACAAUGGGCGCAAGCCUGAUCCAGCCAUACCGCGUGGGUGAAGAAGGCCUUCGGGUUGUAAAGCCCUUUUGUUGGGAAAGAAAUCCAGCUGGCUAAUACCCGGUUGGGAUGACGGUACCCAAAGAAUAAGCACCGGCUAACUUCGUGCCAGCCGCCGCGGUAA